UAUCUCUGUAGAGUCUGCAUAUCAAUAAGCGGAGGAAAAGAAACUAACAAGGAUUCCCCUAGUAACGGCGAGUGAAGCGGGAAGAGCUCAAAUUUGAAAUCUUCAAGGUUUGACCUUGACGAAUUGUAGUUUAAAGAAGUGUUUUCGGUUAGAGGAGUAGUAAAAGUUCUUUGGAAUAGGACAUCAUAGAGGGUGAGAAUCCCGUAUUUGACUAUUCUUUCUAGCUUUGUGAUACACUUCCAAAGAGUCGGAUUGUUUGGGAAUGCAGUCCAAAAUGGGUGGUAAAUUUCAUCUAAAGCUAAAUAUUGGCGAGAGACCGAUAGCGAACAAGUACCGUGAGGGAAAGAUGAAAAGAACUUUGAAAAGAGAGUUAAACAGUACGUGAAAUUGUCAAAAGGGAAGCGUUUGACACCAGUGUUGUUUUUCCGAAAAUCAAUUAAAAAUUGAUUCAUGCCAGGUUGUAUUGACCUUAUCAGCUUGCAAUUUGGUUUUGGGUCUCUUUUUGAUGCACUUUUCGGUUAACAAGUCAACAUCAAUUUCCUUUGCUGUAAAAAGGUAAGAGGAAGGUGGCUUCAAUUUCGGUUGAAGUGUUUAUAGCCUUUUAUCUCUGCAGUCGGGGAGAUUGAGGUCUGCAGCGUAGAUCCUUCGGGGCUAGAUACAUUUAUGCUAAGUUAUAGCUUUUCAUAGACAACUUGUUGACUAUGUUUAGUCAUGUAGCUUACUCGUAAGUGCUAUUUUACCUACGCUUAGGAUGUUGAAGACUCUACAGAGAUA
rnacentral:rRNA from 1 species